UCGUCUGAUAGAUCACCGGAAAUCCAUCUGAAUCAGAUCCAUGUAGAUGUGAUGGGACAUGCCAACGAACCAAUCCUGGCUUAAUAGAAUUCAGACUUCCAGAAGGUUCAGUAUUAGACUGCGGCAACGCUGGAGCACCACUUCGGAGGGUUUUAACCGAACAAAUCAGCGCCAAAGAAGAGAAUGGACUAAGCGGAGCAGGAGCACUCACGUGGAAGGAAAGUGUAGCUGAAGAGGUCACAGAUGUGUGACGAAAGAUUUCUAGGCAAUGGCCAUGAGGUAGAAUAA